UACGUAGGUGGCAAGCGUUAUCCGGAAUUAUUGGGCGUAAAGCGCGCGUAGGCGGUUUUUUAAGUCUGAUGUGAAAGCCCACGGCUCAACCGUGGAGGGUCAUUGGAAACUGGAAAACUUGAGUGCAGAAGAGGAAAGUGGAAUUCCAUGUGUAGCGGUGAAAUGCGCAGAGAUAUGGAGGAACACCAGUGGCGAAGGCGACUUCCUGGUCUGUAACUGACGCUGAUGUGCGAAAGCGUGGGGAUCAAACA
rnacentral:rRNA from 1 species